rnacentral:rRNA from 1 species
GCCGCGCACCGCUCCAUCGAGACGGGCCGCGCCGUGCCCUGGCGCGAGAUGCUCGACGAGUUCGAGGCGGCGCGCGC